rnacentral:lncRNA from 1 species
UAAAAUUCUGUGAUUACUUCUGUGAUGGGAGAAUGGUGAAGGUUCUUAUCACUUCUUGCCCCCAGAAUGGUGCUGACCAUGGAAUACUUCAAAACAUUGGUGUUGUACUUGUCCAAUCGAUUGAGGAAUCAAAGAGAACAAAGCCACUUAUAUGACUCGAGGAAACGGACAAUGUGGAUGACAUCGCUCGUCUGAAAGGAUCGAAGAAACGAUGGUCCGAGUGGAGACGAGGUAUUAAAGGAUUACCUCUCAACGAUUGUGUUUGACAUUUUUUAGGGUUGUUUUGG